rnacentral:hammerhead_ribozyme from 1 species
AUCCAGCUGACGAAUCAUAAAUAGGACGAAACGCGCGUCCUGGAU